GAUGAACGCUGGCGGCGUGCCUAAUACAUGCAAGUCGAGCGAACAGACGAGGAGCUUGCUCCUCUGACGUUAGCGGCGGACGGGUGAGUAACACGUGGAUAACCUACCUAUAAGACUGGGAUAACUUCGGGAAACCGGAGCUAAUACCGGAUAAUAUAUUGAACCGCAUGGUUCAAUAGUGAAAGACGGUUUUGCUGUCACUUAUAGAUGGAUCCGCGCCGCAUUAGCUAGUUGGUAAGGUAACGGCUUACCAAGGCAACGAUGCGUAGCCGACCUGAGAGGGUGAUCGGCCACACUGGAACUGGGGCACGGUCCAGACUCCUACGGGAGGCAGCAGUAGGGAAUCUUCCGCAAUGGGCGGAAGCCUGACGGAGCAAAGCCGCGUGAGUGAUGAAGGGCUUCGGAUCGUAAAACUCUGUUAUUAGGGAAGAACAAAUGUGUAAGUAACUAUGCACGUCUUGACGGUACCUAAUCAGAAAGCCACGGCUAACUACGUG
rnacentral:rRNA from 1 species